rnacentral:rRNA from 1 species
ACGGCCGCAAGGUUAAAACUCAAAUGAAUUGACGGGGGCCCGCACAAGCGGUGGAGCAUGUGGUUUAAUUCGAUGCAACGCGAAGAACCUUACCUGGUCUUGACAUCCACGGAAGUUUUCAGAGAUGAGAAUGUGCCUUCGGGAACCGUGAGACAGGUGCUGCAUGGCUGUCGUCAGCUCGUGUUGUGAAAUGUUGGGUUAAGUCCCGCAACGAGCGCAACCCUUAUCCUUUGUUGCCAGCGGUCCGGCCGGGAACUCAAAGGAGACUGCCAGUGAUAAACUGGAGGAAGGUGGGGAUGACGUCAAGUCAUCAUGGCCCUUACGACCAGGGCUACACACGUGCUACAAUGGCGCAUACAAAGAGAAGCGACCUCGCGAGAGCAAGCGGACCUCAUAAAGUGCGUCGUAGUCCGGAUUGGAGUCUGCAACUCGACUCCAUGAAGUCGGAAUCGCUAGUAAUCGUGGAUCAGAAUGCCACGGUGAAUACGUUCCCGGGCCUUGUACACACCGCCCGUCACACCAUGGGAGUGGGUUGCAAAAGA